AUUGCGACCCGAGUUGAGUGGAGCUCUUUUUUAUUGUUGGCUGAGCGUAGUCGAAGCCAACAAUAAAAAAAGCGGGAGCGGAACGCGGAUUUGUUC
rnacentral:misc_RNA from 1 species